rnacentral:misc_RNA from 1 species
CUUAUUUAGAGGAAGUAAAAGUCGUAACAAGGUUUCCGUAGGUGAACCUGCGGAAGGAUCAUUACCGUGUAUCCACGUACAAACAAUGUGAACUGUUCCCAAUGGGAGUGAAUGUUAUGAAAAGCUUGCUGAUGGCGGUUCAGGACUUUUGUCUCGAACUGAGCUUUCAUAAUGGCUUCGCGCAAGCGAUGGCAAGUUCAUUUUCAUUGAGUUAUCUACCAUCGGUUGUGAAACCUUAUUAACCCUAUGUACCUUCUGAACUAAACUAUUCUGCGAUGCUCGAGGCCUUGUUGGCUCAGCCACGGCCGAGGGUUCACAGAAAUUGAUACCAAAUUAAGAACAACUCUUAACAACGGAUAUCUUGGUUCUC